AUAACUUUCGCAUUUGCUAGUUCCUCUUGUGAAACAAACUAUGAAAAACUGGCUCAAGAGUGUUACUUUCAUUUUUACAAUUAUU